rnacentral:rRNA from 1 species
CGCCUCUAGACAAAAAAUUAGAGGUCCAUUCUGCCCAAUGCCCUACGGGGUAAAUGGCCGCGGUAGCCUGACCGUGCUAAGGUAGCAUAAUCAUUUGCCGCUUAAUUGGUGGCUGGAAUGAAUGAAUAUACGAGAGCUUAGCUGUCUCAUUUUUACUAUUAAAAAUUGACCCUCAAGUGAAGAGACUUGAAUUUCCCAAAAAGACGAAAAGACCCUAUAGAGCUUGACUUACAACAAAUAUUUUAUUUGAAAAAAGUUUAGUUGGGGCAACUAGAGAGUAGCUAAAACCUCUCUUCUCAAUUUUAUAAAGAUCCGUUUUAACGAAAAGAAGAAAAAGCUACCUUAGGGAUAACAGGCUAAUCCUCUUUAAGAGACCAUAUUGACAAGAGGGAUUGGCACCUCGAUGUUGGCUCAAGGUUACAGUUUGAUGCAGCAGUCAAACAAAGUAGGUUUGUUCACCCUUUAAACCCUU